rnacentral:rRNA from 1 species
UACGAAGGGUGCUAGCGUUGUUCGGAAUUACUGGGCGUAAAGCGUACGUAGGCGGCUUGAUAAGUCGAUUGUGAAAGCCCCAAGCUCAACUUGGGAACUGCAAUCGAUACUGUCUGGCUAGAGUUUAGUGGGGGAUGGUGGAAUUUCUAGUGUAGGGGUGAAAUCCGUAGAUAUUAGAAGGAAUACCGGUGGCGAAGGCGACCAUCUACGCUAACACUGACGCUAAGGUACGAAAGCGUGGGGAGCAAACAGG